rnacentral:rRNA from 1 species
UACAGAGGUCUCAAGCGUUGUUCGGAUUCAUUGGGCGUAAAGGGUGCGUAGGUGGCGCGCUAAGUCAGGUGUGAAAUUUCGGAGCUUAACUCCGAAACUGCAUUUGAUACUGGUGUGCUUGAGGACUGGAGAGGAGACUGGAAUUUACGGUGUAGCAGUGAAAUGCGUAGAGAUCGUAAGGAAGACCAGUGGCGAAGGCGGGUCUCUGGGCCGUAACUGACGCUGAGGAGCGAAAGCAUGGGGAGCGAACAGG